UUGGAGGGCAAGUCUGGUGCCAGCAGCCGCGGUAAUUCCAGCUCCAAUAGCGUAUAUUAAAGUUGUUGCAGUUAAAGAGCUCGUAGUUGAACUUCGGGGUCUACCCAUUGGUCAGGCUUAAUUGUCUGCACUGGUGAGAUGGAUCUCUACCUUCUGAGGAACUUUCAUGCCAUUUAUUUGGUGUGGUUGGAAAUCAGGACUGUUACUUUGAAAAAAUUAGAGUGUUUAAAGCAGACUAUCGUCUGAAUACAUUAGCAUGGAAUAAUGAAAUAGGACGGACUGAUUCUAUUUCGUUGGUUUCUAGGAUCACCGUAAUGAUUAAUAGGGAUAGUUGGGGGCAUUAGUAUUCAAUUGUCAGAGGUGAAAUUCUUGGAUUUAUUGAAGACUAGCUACUGCGGAAGCAUUUGCCAAGGAUGUUUUCAUUAAUCAAGAACGAAAGUUAGGGGAUCGAAGACGAUCAGAUACCGUCGUAGUCUUAACCAUAAACUAUGCCGACUAGGGAUCGGACGAAGUUAAUUUUAUAAUGACGCGUUCGGCACCUUACGGGAAACCAAAGUGUUUGGGUUC
rnacentral:rRNA from 1 species